GGAGAUGAGAGCUGCUUCCUUCGAUGAAGAGCGUGAGAGAUGAGGUCCAACGGCUAAGAUAAAUACCGGACGUUUGCACCAGAUGAUAGGAACCGGACGACCCCCGGAUCCUUUGGAAAUACGUCUUUUUUUCUUCUGGAUCUCUGCGUUGAGGACCACCGCAUCCUAGCCACCGUCAUCCACCCCGAACAUGCCGCAACGUCAGGCUCCGAAGCUCCAGAACACCAGGCUCCGUGACACUGUUGUCGUUGGCGUCAACGUCAGCCAUGACCUACCCUUUGGAUUCAACUAUGCACCGGCUCUCACUACCUCCUCUACUUCGUCCCCUCGGAAUUCGAGCCCAAGAAGAUAGUUGCUAAGAACCCGGUGGAUCUGAACGAACUGGCUGUGAGAGGGAUAAACCGUAGAUCUCUGGAGGUCCGAUCUAGACCGAUCUUCCUAGGCGGUGAUGGGGAAAGGAUUUGAUAUUGAGAGGCCUACCUACUAGGUGGAGUGGCACCACCGUAGGUGGUAGUUCGUAUGUUUCUUAUGUUGUUUACUCAUGGUGAACAAUUCUUUGCUUUUAGGUUCACAAAGAUCAACAACAUUGAAGUAUGCAAUCCAGCAGUAUAGACCGGUUCAGAAUCAACUUGGAGAGAAUCACAGGAAGGGUACAAACAAUUAGACGCCACAAGCCAUUGUAUUUGUUAUGCUAUUUUGGUGAAGAAAAACAGAGUAUGGAAUCUGACAUACACUGAAGUCACAUUUGCCAUCAAACUUGUUGAACUUGGUAUGCAUAUUGAGCUCACUCAUCUUGUUUGCGAAACCUUAGCCGCCUAAGAAACAAAAUCUCAAGCUCUGAUACCAAAUGUUGAAAUAGAACCCUCGCAGACUAUACAGAUAUGGAAGAUUAGGUAACAUUGCAUAGUGGAGAGCUUAUGUCAAGGUAUCAACCAGCAUCCAACGCCAGUCAUAAUCAACGAGCGAUUCCCACUGAAUUACUGUGCAUGUAAUUUCUCUCUUAGAUAAUAAAUAGUUGGAAAUUUGGCAAUAGUUGAAAGACCAACGGAUUGACCAUCAAUUUCUUGGAAAAAGUUUUUUUUCUAUACAAA